GUGCAUGAACGCGGCCUCAAUCGCGAUAUUUAAAUGAUAACCCCAAUCCUCAGAGCUACCACGUGCACUGUAAGCAAAAGUUAAGGCUUUCAAGGUUUUUCUUUUAUUAUCGUUUUGUGUUCAUUUUCAAAGCAUAUUGAGGACCUCCUAAAGAAGCUGUAGUAUAAUUGUUUAAUAAACAGAUGGGUUCGUUCAACUUUAAUACCUCCGCUCACAAAAAGCUUGCGCACCUUUUCGAUUGGAACACCUAAAGAAUACUGACCUUUGAGCUAGAGAAAAAAAAGUGGACGUGGCCCACCCCCUUUUCCGGAUUUUAACGGCAUUUUUUUUUUGUGCAAAUUGACGGGCGGCGAUAGCGGGGGCUUAACGUGGAAUUUUCAACAUUUUCAAAAGCUUAUAUUUCGAAAACUAUUGAACCAGUUAUUGGACACAGUUGGAAAGGUGAUUGAAGGGCCUUUCGUUCGAUAUAUAUAUAUCUAUAUAUAUAAUGUAUACACAUUACGAGAAAAGAUAUGUUUAUCAGCAACAGCACAGAAAUAAUUUGAUAUAUGACUUGUAGCAAAAAAUUCUUGUGGACAUCAUAUUUGACUAAAUAUAUAUAAAAAUAUAGUUUUAUAUGAAAAAGGAAAAGCGCCGCAGG